rnacentral:rRNA from 1 species
GACGAACGCUGGCGGCGUGCUUAACACAUGCAAGUCGAACGGAAAGGCCUGCUUUCCCUUGUGGAUUGCGGGUACUCGAGUGGCGAACGGGUGAGUAACACGUGAGGGAUCUGCCCCCAACUCGGGUAUAAGCCUGGGAAACUGGGUCUAAUUCCCGAUAGGACUGCAGGGUGGUGCCUGUGGUGGAAAACGAUUUUCUAGUGGUUGGGGAUGAGCUCGCGGCCUAUCAGCUUGUUGGUGGGGUAAUGACCUACCAAGGCGGCGACGGGUAGCCGGCCUGAGAGGGUGGACGGCCACAUUGGGACUGAGAUACGGCCCAGACUCCUACGGGAGGCAGCAGUGGGGAAUAUUGCACAAUGGGCGGAAGCCUGAUGCAGCGACGCCGCGUGGGGGAUGACGGCCUUCGGGUUGUAAACUCCUUUCGACCGCGAGGAAGCCACCUGGUUGGAAGGGUGGUGACGGUAGUGGUAGAAGAAGCACCGGCUAACUACGUG